ACGGGGGGGGCAAGCGUUGUUCGGAAUUACUGGGCGUAAAGGGCUCGUAGGCGGCCAACUAAGUCAAACGUGAAAUCCCUCGGCUUAACCGGGGAACUGCGCUUGAUACUGGAUGGCUUGAGAUUGGGAGAGGGAAGCGGAAUUCCAGGUGUAGCGGUGAAAUGCGUAGAUAUCUGGAGGAACACCGGUGGCGAAGGCGGCAUCCUGGACCAACACUGACGCUGAGUGAGCGAAAGCCAGGGGAGCAAAACGGGAUUAGAUACCCCGGUAGUCCUGGCCCUAAACGAUGAAUGCUUGGUGUGGCGGGUAUCGAUCCCUGCCGUGCCGAAGCUAACGCAUUAAGCAUUCCGCCUGGGGAUACGGUCGCAAGGCUG
rnacentral:rRNA from 1 species